GACGAACGCUGGCGGCGUGCCUAAUACAUGCAAGUAGAACGCACAGUUUAUACCGUAGCUUGCUACACCAUAAACUGUGAGUUGCGAACGGGUGAGUAACGCGUAGGUAACCUGCCUGGUAGCGGGGGAUAACUAUUGGAAACGAUAGCUAAUACCGCAUAAUAUUGAUUAUUGCAUGAUAAUUGAUUGAAAGAUGCUAUUGCAUCACUACCAGAUGGACCUGCGUUGUAUUAGCUAGUAGGUGAGGUAACGGCUCACCUAGGCGACGAUACAUAGCCGACCUGAGAGGGUGAUCGGCCACACUGGGACGGAGACACGGCCCAGACUCCUACGGGAGGCAGCAGUAGGGAAUCUUCGGCAAUGGACGAAAGUCUGACCGAGCAACGCCGCGUGAGUGAAGAAGGUUUUCGGAUCGUAAAGCUCUGUUGUAAGAGAAGAACGGGUGUGAGAGUGGAAAGUUCACACUGUGACGGUAUCUUACCAGAAAGGGACGGCUAACUACGUG
rnacentral:rRNA from 1 species